GACGAACGCUGGCGCGUGCUAAUACAUGCAAGUCGAGCGAAGUUUUCUGGUGCUUGCACUAGAAAACUUAGCGGCGAACGGGUGAGUAACACGUAAAGAACCUGCCUCAUAGACUGGGACAACUAUUGGAAACGAUAGCUAAUACCGGAUAACAGCAUUAACUGCAUGGUUGAUGUUUAAAAGUUGGUUUUGCUAACACUAUGAGAUGGCUUUGCGGUGCAUUAGCUAGUUGGUGGGGUAAAGGCCUACCAAGGCGACGAUGCAUAGCCGACCUGAGAGGGUGAUCGGCCACCUGGGACUGAGACACGGCCCAGACUCCUACGGGAGGCAGCAGUAGGGAAUCUUCCGCAAUGGGCGAAAGCCUGACGGAGCAACGCCGCGUGAGUGAAGAAGGAUUUCGGUUCGUAAAGCUCUGUUGUUAGGGAAGAAUGAUUGUGUAGUAACUAUACACAGUAGAAGACGGUAC
rnacentral:rRNA from 1 species